AUUGAACGCUGGCGGCAGGCCUAACACAUGCAAGUCGAACGAUUGGCGGACGGGUGAGUAAUAUAUGGGAACGUGCCUGAUAGAGGGGGAUAACUACUGGAAACGGUAGAUAAUACCGCAUACCAUCCGAUGGGCCGAGAUGGGAUUAGAUAGUUGGUGUGGUAAAGGCUCACCAAGGCAACGAUCCCUAGCUGGUCUGAGAGGAGGACCAGCCACACUGGGACUGAGACACGGCCCAGAUUCCUACGGGAGGCAGCAGUGGGGAAUAUUGGACAAGGGGCGCAAGCCUGAUGCAGCCAUGCCGCGUGUAUGAAGAAGGCCUUCGGGUUGUAAAGUACUUUCGUCAGGGAAGCGGUAUCCGCAGAAGAAGCACCGGCUAACUCCGUGCCAGCAGCCGCGGUAAUAC
rnacentral:rRNA from 1 species